AGUGAACGCUGGCGGUAGGCCUAACACAUGCAAGUCGAACGGCAGCACAGUAAGAGCUUGCUCUUACGGGUGGCGAGUGGCGGACGGGUGAGGAAUACAUCGGAAUCUACUUUUUCGUGGGGGAUAACGUAGGGAAACUUACGCUAAUACCGCAUACGACCUACGGGUGAAAGCAGGGAUCUUCGGACCUUGCGCGAUUGGAUGAGCCGAUGUCGGAUUAGCUAGUUGGCGGGGUAAAGGCCCACCAAGGCGACGAUCCGUAGCUGGUCUGAGAGGAUGAUCAGCCACACUGGAACUGAGACACGGUCCAGACUCCUACGGGAGGCAGCAGUGGGGAAUAUUGGACAAUGGGCGCAAGCCUGAUCCAGCCAUACCGCGUGGGUGAAGAAGGCCUUCGGGUUGUAAAGCCCUUUUGUUGGGAAAGAAAAGCAGCAGGUUAAUACCCCGCUGUUCUGACGGUACCCAAAGAAUAAGCACCGGCUAACUUCGUG
rnacentral:rRNA from 1 species